GAUCCUGGCUCAGGGUGAACGCUAGCGACAGGCUUAACACAUGCAAGUCGAGGGGCAGCGGAGAGGUAGCAAUACCUUUGCCGGCGACCGGCGCACGGGUGAGUAACACGUAUGCAAUCCACCUGUAACAGGGGGAUAACCCGGAGAAAUCCGGACUAAUACCCCAUAAUAUGGGCGCUCCGCAUGGAGAGCCCAUUAAAGAGAGCAAUUUUGGUUACAGACGAGCAUGCGCUCCAUUAG
rnacentral:rRNA from 1 species